rnacentral:tRNA from 1 species
GCUAAAAUAACUUAAUGGCUAGAGUAUCUUAUUUGUAAUAAGAAAGUUAUGAGUUCAAGUCUCAUUUUUAGCU